UACGUAGGGGGCAAGCGUUGUCCGGAUUUAUUGGGCGUAAAGAGCGUGUAGGCGGCCAAGCAGGUCAGCUGUGAAAACUCGAGGCUCAACCUCGAGACGUCGGUUGAAACCGCUUGGCUAGAGUCCGGAAGAGGAGAGUGGAAUUCCCGGUGUAGCGGUGAAAUGCGCAGAUAUCGGGAAGAACACCCGUGGCGAAGGCGGCUCUCUGGGACGGUACUGACGCUGAGACGCGAAAGCGUGGGGAGCGAACAGG
rnacentral:rRNA from 2 species